rnacentral:rRNA from 1 species
UACGGAGGGAGCUAGCGUUAUUCGGAAUUACUGGGCGUAAAGCGCACGUAGGCGGCUUUGUAAGUUAGAGGUGAAAGCCUGAGCUCAACGUCCAGAAUUGCCUUUAAGACUGCAUCGCUUGAAUCCAGGAGAGGUGAGUGGAAUUCCGAGUGUAGAGGUGAAAUUCGUAGAUAUUCGGAAAGAACACCAGUGGCGAAGGCGGCUCACUGGACUGGUAUUGACGCUGAGGUGCGAAAAGCGUGGGGAGCAAACAGG